CGUAAAUACUCCGCGACUAGAAGAGUGUAAAACAGAAGCGCUGGUGAAAUCGAUACAUAUCACAGGAGAACAUAAAAAUCGUUGAGGCAAUAGAAAAGGCGGCUAGAACACAUGGCGAAUCUUGCACAUGCUGGAUUACUCAUUAUACUUUCACUGUUAACAAUAGAUUCCUCUUAUGCCCAGUCGUACAGCAGCCGGAUCUCAAAUUUAUUUCAGAACUUGUCCAUCUCUGAUACAUGUUUGAAUAAAGCAGAGAAAAAAAGCGCGACGUUUGCCUCCUUUUCUGAAGAUAAAAAGAAGGCAGUUGAAUUGGUUAAUAUAUACACACAAGAAUGUAAAGCAUAAUUAUGCAAAUAGUGGUGGAAAGGCAUUUUAUGCUAAAUUAAACGCCAACCUCAGAAGUGGGAAUCCUCAACCAAUCUGGAAAACAACGGCUGAUUUACUAAGUGAAGGCUUGAUACUCCUGGGUCCUGGAAAGUUCUCAAAUCUCUAUCGUGCCUGUUGGUGUUCAAUCAUGGAAGGCACAGAGUUCUCUUUCCACCAAUUUGGCAGUACUUCUACUGAUGCAGAAGCCGCAUUUGAAUUUCUUAAAAAGGGUAAAUCAUUUAUUCAUAUAUUUAACGCCACAGGGACUAAUAUAGAAGCAUAUUCAUCUUAUCCAAAUGAAAAGGAGGUUCUGCUACGCCCUGAGAUAUACCUUUACGUAGAGAAAGUUGAAACUAACAGUACACGAAUUCGGGAAGAGAUUAAGAAACUUGUGCCAAACAAGAACCCCCCGGACGGUGUCAAAGAGUUCGUCGUACUUCGUGGUUCUUCGACAAGAAGGAUAAAGCGAUCCAAAUUCAUAAGCACAUGCGAAUGCCAUUCACCUGAUAACAAUGUUGCUUUCCAACAUGAUUCGGGAAAAGGCCUACUUGUGGUGAUAAUAUUAGGAAUGAUAUUACAACACUAUUGAUUGUUCGUAUCGGAAAGUAUAUUCCUAUAUGUCGACAAUUUUUAAACUUUUAUCGUAGAGCAUGCAAUAGGCAACAUUUUUAUACUUUUGUUCAACCAGGUCAACUCCACUUGACCUGUUCUGUUCUAUAUAUCAGACUAAUGCACUACUGACAAGUUGUCUUCAUUCUUUUCUCUUAUUCAUCUAUUUGAAUAUAUAUUGUAACCUCGUUUUAAAAUAUUUGUGCACUAAUAUAGAACCCAUCCUUGCAAAUAAGUUUAAUUGCUCUGAAGUGAAGAUGUUGGGAACAAUACAACGAAACAUUA